rnacentral:rRNA from 1 species
AAUGAACGCUGGCGGCGUGCCUAACACAUGCAAGUCGGAUGUGCCCGCAAGGGUGCAUGGCAGACGGGUGAGUAACGCGUGGGCAACCUGCCUCAAGGUUUGGGAUAACAGCCCGAAAGGGCUGCUAAUACCGGAUAUGCCUAUGGCCUCGCAUGGGGCUAUGAGCAAAGGGGAACCCGCCUUGAGAUGGGCCCGCGUCCCAUCAGCUAGUUGGUGAGGUAACAGCUCACCAAGGCGACGACGGGUAGCCGGCCUGAGAGGGUGACCGGCCACACUGGGACUGAGACACGGCCCAGACUCCUACGGGGGCAGCAGUGGGGGAUCUUGCACAAUGGGCGAAAGCCUGAUGCAGCGACGCCGCGUGAGCGAAGAAUCCUUUCGGGGUGUAAAGUUCUUUUCUAUGUGAGCAGUUCCUUUUAUAUGAAGAGUAUAGAAGGGGGAUUUAAGGCAUAGGAAUAAGCAACGGCUAACUCCGUGCCAGCAGCCGAC